rnacentral:rRNA from 1 species
GCCGUCGCGGUUAGACGAAGAACCCACAUGGAAUAAAUGUUUAUAUUAGUUAACGUUGAAUCCUUAGAGUUAUCUUAGUUUUUUUAGUGGGUAAAAUCAGUAUAAGUGCUGCUGUUUCUUUAAAAAUUUGGAGGGACUAAAAAACUUCGAUUUAAAACCAGGAUUAGAUACCCUGUUAUUCUUAGUAAUAGUUAGACAGGGUAGUAAAAGUUGUUCUUCAAACCCAAAGAUUUUGGCGGCACUUCAUCCAAAUAGAGGAGCUUGCCCCUUAAUCGAUAGUCCCCGUUUUAUCUUUCCUCUUCUUGUAAAGCUUGUAUACCGCCGUUGUCAGAUUACUUUUAGAGAAUGUUUUCAAAUCAAAGAACUUUUUUACUUCAGGUCAAGGUGCAGUUCAUGUAGGGGUGGAGGUGAGCUACAAUUUUUUCUAGAAAGACGAAUGCUGAGUUUUUAAAAUGGCUAAAGGUGGAUUUAUUAGUAAAAUGAUUUAAGUAAAAUUAUUUGAAUAAGGUAAUAAA